GAGUUUGAUCCUGGCUCAGGAUGAACGCUGGCGGCGUGCUUAACACAUGCAAGUCGAACGAUGAAGCCCAGCUUGCUGGGUGGAUUAGUGGCGAACGGGUGAGUAACACGUGAGCAAUCUGCCCCUGACUCUGGGAUAAGCGCUGGAAACGGCGUCUAAUACCGGAUACGAACCGCCAUCGCAUGGUGAGCGGUUGGAAAGAUUUUUCGGUCUGGGAUGAGCUCGCGGCCUAUCAGCUUGUUGGUGAGGUAAUGGCUCACCAAGGCGUCGACGGGUAGCCGGCCUGAGAGGGUGACCGGCCACACUGGGACUGAGACACGGCCCAGACUCCUACGGGAGGCAGCAGUGGGGAAUAUUGCACAAUGGGCGGAAGCCUGAUGCAGCAACGCCGCGUGAGGGAUGACGGCCUUCGGGUUGUAAACCUCUUUUAGCAGGGAAGAAGCGAAAGUGACGGUACCUGCAGAAAAAGCGCCGGCUAACUACGUGCCAGCAGCCGCGGUAAUACGUAGGGCGCAAGCGUUAUCCGGAAUUAUUGGGCGUAAAGAGCUCGUAGGCGGUUUGUCGCGUCUGCUGUGAAAUCUGGAGGCUCAACCUCCAGCCUGCAGUGGGUACGGGCAGACUAGAGUGCGGUAGGGGAGAUUGGAAUUCCUGGUGUAGCGGUGGAAUGCGCAGAUAUCAGGAGGAACACCGAUGGCGAAGGCAGAUCUCUGGGCCGUAACUGACGCUGAGGAGCGAAAGGGUGGGGAGCAAACAGGCUUAGAUACCCUGGUAGUCCACCCCGUAAACGUUGGGAACUAGUUGUGGGGUCCAUUCCACGGAUUCCGUGACGCAGCUAACGCAUUAAGUUCCCCGCCUGGGGAGUACGGCCGCAAGGCUAAAACUCAAAGGAAUUGACGGGGACCCGCACAAGCGGCGGAGCAUGCGGAUUAAUUCGAUGCAACGCGAAGAACCUUACCAAGGCUUGACAUACACGAGAACGCCGCAGAAAUGUGGAACUCUUUGGACACUCGUGAACAGGUGGUGCAUGGUUGUCGUCAGCUCGUGUCGUGAGAUGUUGGGUUAAGUCCCGCAACGAGCGCAACCCUCGUUCUAUGUUGCCAGCACGUAAUGGUGGGAACUCAUGGGAUACUGCCGGGGUCAACUCGGAGGAAGGUGGGGAUGACGUCAAAUCAUCAUGCCCCUUAUGUCUUGGGCUUCACGCAUGCUACAAUGGCCGGUACAAAGGGCUGCAAUACCGUGAGGUGGAGCGAAUCCCAAAAAGCCGGUCCCAGUUCGGAUUGAGGUCUGCAACUCGACCUCAUGAAGUCGGAGUCGCUAGUAAUCGCAGAUCA
rnacentral:rRNA from 1 species